rnacentral:rRNA from 1 species
AGAGUUUGAUCCUGGCUCAGGACGAACGUUGGCGGCGUGCCUAAUGCAUGCAAGUCGAACGAGGAGCCCUUUCCGGGUAACCGGAGGGGUUUCCUAGUGGCGAACGGGUGAGUAACACGUGAGAAACCUGCCCCGGAGACCGGAAUAGCCCAGGGAAACUUGGAUUAAUGCCGGAUGUCCUCGGAUGGUCGCAUGGUCGACCGAGGAAACAGUCCGCUGCUCCGGGAUGGUCUCGCGGCCUAUCAGCUAGUUGGCGGGGUAACGGCCCACCAAGGCGACGACGGGUAGCUGGUCUGAGAGGACGAUCAGCCACACUGGGACUGAGACACGGCCCAGACUCCUGCGGGAGGCAGCAGCAGGGAAUUUUGCACAAUGGACGAAAGUCUGAUGCAGCGACGCCGCGUGGGGGAUGAAGGCCUUCGGGUUGUAAACCCCUUUCAGGAGGGACGAAGCGAAAGUGACGGUACCUCCAGAAGAAGCCCCGGCCGACUACGUGCCAGCAGCCGCGGUAAUACGUAGGGGGCGAACGUUGUCCGGAUUUAUUGGGCGUAAAGAGCUCGUAGGCGGCUCAGCAAGUCGGCCGUGAAAGCCCGGGGCUCAACCCCGGGAUGCCGGUCGAAACUGCUGUGGCUAGGGUCCGGUAGAGGAGAGUGGAAUUCCCGGUGUAGCGGUGAAAUGCGCAGAUAUCGGGAGGAACACCAGUAGCGAAGGCGGCUCUCUGGGCCGGUACCGACGCUGAGGAGCGAAAGCUAGGGGAGCGAACAGGAUUAGAUACCCUGGUAGUCCUAGCCGUAAACGUUGGGCACUAGGUGUGGCGGACUCAUUGACGUCUGCCGUGCCGCAGCUAACGCAUUAAGUGCCCCGCCUGGGGAGUACGGUCGCAAGGCUAAAACUUAAAGGGAAUUGACGG